CUUAAUUGGGCGUUAAGUUGCAGGGUAUAGACCCGAAACCCGGUGAUCUAGCCAUGGGCAGGUUGAAGGUUGGGUAACACUAACUGGAGGACCGAACCGACUAAUGUUGAAAAAUUAGCGGAUGACCUGUGGCUGGGGGUGAAAGGCCAAUCAAACCGGGAGAUAGCUGGUUCUCCCCGAAAGCUAUUUAGGUAGCGCCUCGUGAAUUCAUCUCCGGGGGUAGAGCACUGUUUCGGCUAGGGGGCCAUCCCGGCUUACCAACCCGAUGCAAACUGCGAAUACCGGAGAAUGUUAUCACGGGAGACACACGGCGGGUGCUAACGUCCGUCGUGAAGAGGGAAACAACCCAGACCGCCAGCUAAGGUCCCAAAGUCAUGGUUAAGUGGGAAACGAUGUGGGAAGGCCCAGACAGCCAGGAUGUUGGCUUAGAAGCAGCCAUCAUUUAAAGAAAGCGUAAUAGCUCACUGGUCGAGUCGGCCUGCGCGGAAGAUGUAACGGGGCUAAACCAUGCACCGAAGCUGCGGCAGCGAACGUAUCACCCAAGACAACUUUACGGAGUUGACGAUUGACGGAGCGAAGCGACGUCAAAGCGUUCAUUAAAGUCGAGUUGGCUUAGGGAUACGUUCGUUGGGUAGGGGAGCGUUCUGUAAGCCUGUGAAGGUGUGUCGUGAGGCAUGCUGGAGGUAUCAGAAGUGCGAAUGCUGACAUAAGUAACGAUAAAGCGGGUGAAAAGCCCGCUCGCCGGAAGACCAAGGGUUCCUGUCCAACGUUAAUCGGGGCAGGGUGAGUCGACCCCUAAGGCGAGGCCGAAAGGCGUAGUCGAUGGGAAACGGGUUAAUAUUCCCGUACUUGGUGUUACUGCGAAGGGGGGACGGAGAAGGCUAUGUUGGCCGGGCGACGGUUGUCCCGGUUUAAGCGUGUAGGUGUGUGUUCCAGGUAAAUCCGGUUCACUUUAACACUGAGGCGUGACGACGAGGCACUACGGUGCUGAAGCAACAAAUGCCCUGCUUCCAGGAAAAGCCUCUAAGCAUCAGGUAACACGAAAUCGUACCCCAAACCGACACAGGUGGUCAGGUAGAGAAUACCAAGGCGCUUGAGAGAACUCGGGUGAAGGAACUAGGCAAAAUGGUGCCGUAACUUCGGGAGAAGGCACGCUGACACGUAGGUGAAGUGAUUUACUCAUGGAGCUGAAGUCAGUCGAAGAUACCAGCUGGCUGCAACUGUUUAUUAAAAACACAGCACUGUGCAAACACGAAAGUGGACGUAUACGGUGUGACGCCUGCCCGGUGCCGGAA
rnacentral:rRNA from 2 species